GCUCAGUAACACGUGGAUAACCUACCCUUAGGACCGGGAUAACCCUGGGAAACUGGGGCUAAUACUGGAUAGAUGAUUUUUCCUGGAAUGGUUUUCUGUUUAAAUGUUUUUUCGCCUAAGGAUGGGUCUGCGGCCGAUUAGGUAGUUGGUUAGGUAAUGGCUUACCAAGCCGUUGAUCGGUACGGGUUGUGAGAGCAAGAGCCCGGAGAUGGAACCUGAGACAAGGUUCCAGGCCCUACGGGGUGCAGCAGGCGCGAAACCUCCGCAAUGUGAGAAAUCGCGACGGGGGGAUCCCAAGUGCCAUUCUUAACGGGAUGGCUUUUCAUUAGUGUAAAGAGCUUUUGGAAUAAGAGCUGGGCAAGACCGGUGCCAGCCGCCGCGGUAACACCGGCAGCUCUAGUGGUAGCUGUUUUUAUUGGGCCUAAAGCGUUCGUAGCCGGUUUGAUAAGUCACUGGUGAAAUCCUGUAGCUUAACUGUGGGAAUUGCUGGUGAUACUGUUGAACUUGAGGUCGGGAGAGGUUAGCGGUACUCCCAGGGUAGAGGUGAAAUUCUGUAAUCCUGGGAGGACCACCUGUGGCGAAGGCGGCUAACUGGAACGAACCUGACGGUGAGGGACGAAAGCUAGGGGCGCGAACCGGAUUAGAUACCCGGGUAGUCCUAGCCGUAAACGAUGCGGACUUGGUGUUGGGAUGGCUUUGAGCCGCUCCGGUGCCGAAGGGAAGCUGUUAAGUCCGCCGCCUGGGAAGUGCGGUCGCAAGACUGAAACUUAAAGGAAUUGGCGGGGGAGCAC
rnacentral:rRNA from 1 species